rnacentral:rRNA from 1 species
AUUGAACGCUGGCGGCAGGCCUAACACAUGCAAGUCGAGCGGAUGAAGGGAGCUUGCUCCUGGAUUCAGCGGCGGACGGGUGAGUAAUGCCUAGGAAUCUGCCUGGUAGUGGGGGAUAACGUCCGGAAACGGGCGCUAAUACCGCAUACGUCCUGAGGGAGAAAGUGGGGAUCUUCGGACCUCACGCUAUCAGAUGAGCCUAGGUCGGAUUAGCUAGUUGGUGGGGUAAAGGCCUACCAAGGCGACGAUCCGUAACUGGUCUGAGAGGAUGAUCAGUCACACUGGAACUGAGACACGGUCCAGACUCCUACGGGAGGCAGCAGUGGGGAAUAUUGGACAAUGGGCGAAAGCCUGAUCCAGCCAUGCCGCGUGUGUGAAGAAGGUCUUCGGAUUGUAAAGCACUUUAAGUUGGGAGGAAGGGCAGUAAGUUAAUACCUUGCUGUUUUGACGUUACCAACAGAAUAGGCACCGGCUAACUUCGU